rnacentral:rRNA from 1 species
CCUACGGGAGGCAGCAGUGAGGAAUAUUGGUCAAUGGACGAGAGUCUGAACCAGCCACGUAGCGUGAAUGAUGACUGCCCUAUGGGUUGUAAACUUCUUUUAUAUGGGAAUAAAAUGUUCCACGUGUGGGAUUUUGUAUGUACCAUAUUAAUAAUGAUCGGCGAACUCCGUUCCAGCCGCCGCGGUAAUACGGAGGCUCCGAGCGUUAUCCGGAUUUAUUUUGUUUAACGGGAGCGCAAGUGGUUUGGUAAGUCAGUUGUGAAAGUUUGCGGCUUAACCGUAAUAUUGCAGUGGAAACUGGCAGGCUUGAGUACAGAAGAGGUGGGUGGAAUUCGAGGUGUAGCGGUGAAAGGCUUAGAUAUAACGAAGAACUCCGAUUGCGAAGGCAGUUCACUGGUCUGUAACUGACACUGAGGCUCGAAAGUGUGGGUAUCAAACAGGAUUAGAUACCCUGGUAGUC